CCUACGGGGUGCAGCAGUGGGGAAUAUUGGACAAUGGGCGAAAGCCUGAUCCAGCCAUGCCGCGUGUGUGAAGAAGGCCUUCGGGUUGUAAAGCACUUUCAGUGGGGAAGAAAGCCUUGGGGCUAAUACCCUCGAGGAAGGACAUCACCCACAGAAGAAGCACCGGCUAACUCCGUGCCAGCAGCCGCGGUAAUACGGAGGGUGCGAGCGUUAAUCGGAAUUACUGGGCGUAAAGCGCGCGUAGGCGGUCUGAUAAGCCGGUUGUGAAAGCCCCGGGCUCAACCUGGGAACGGCAUCCGGAACUGUCAGGCUAGAGUGCAGGAGAGGAAGGUAGAAUCCCCGGUGUAGCGGUGAAAUGCGUAGAGAUCGGGAGGAAUACCAGUGGCGAAGGCGGCCUUCUGGACUGACACUGACGCUGAGGUGCGAAAGCGUGGGUAGCAAACAGGAUUAGAUACCCGGGUAGUC
rnacentral:rRNA from 1 species